AUGCUCUUCCUGAUCUCAGAAGUCCUCCAGACACCCAUGGGAAACUCCAAAAGUUGGCGAUCGGUCCUGCUACCAGUCCUGCACAGCUACGAGUGGCUGCACGGAGGGUGCUCCAUAACCAGCUUGAAGCUGAGGAUGCAAAGGAAGACAAGAAGAUGAAAAGGCAGGCCGCCCUGCUCGCUGUGGCCCGCCAGUCUCCUCAAGAGCUGCCACCCUGUUCAUGGGAAAAAGCCACUUGAAUUUUGAACUGUGUUUUAAGAACCAUACGUAUUCCUCAAGUCAAGGACAGGAUCUCAAUGAACAACUAAGUGAGCAUUGAAGAAAACCUUGUAACUCCUUGAGCAGAGCAGGAGGAACACCGUGACACCAAGCCAAAAACAUUGAGGAACUCGUGGAUGUGCACGAGCAAGCUCACAGAGUAAAGAUUCCCAGUGUUUUCAACAAGGGAGGAAUUAAAUGUUUCUAGUUAAUCCAGAAUAACCUAAAUUUAUGUUGCCUGGUAUUUUUUCUACUGUGGUCUCAAACUCUGGGAUUGCUGCUUAGAACAGAAUAAUUACCUAGGAAUUGUUUAAUCUUACUGUUUAGUUAUUUAAAAAAAUCCAUUGAGUUUUCAGCACUGUUCUGGGUGCUGGCAAUAGAGCAGCAACAAAGACAUAAAAUUGUGGUCAAGAAGACUAUAUUCUAGUGAAGGGACAAAUUACAUGUCAUUAAAUCAAUAAAUAAACAGAAUUACCUUCUCA
rnacentral:lncRNA from 1 species